GACUCUUAGCUGAACGCGGAGCUGCGGCGGCUAUGCUGUGGAGCGGCUGCCGGCGUUUCGGGGCGCGCCUCGGCUGCCUGCCCGGCGGUCUCCGGGUCCUCGUCCAGACCGGCCACCGGAGCUUGACCUCCUGCAUCGACCCAUGUGUGCCUGGAUGAUUGAUAGCUUCGGAAAUGGGGAACAGAGGCACAAAUUUUGCCCACCGCUCUGUACCAUGGAGAAGUUUGCUUCCUACUGCCUCACUGAACCAGGAAGUGGGAGUGAUGCUGCCUCUCUUCUGACCUCCGCUAAGAAACAGGGAGAUCAUUACAUCCUCAAUGGCUCCAAGGCCUUCAUCAGUGGUGCUGGUGAGUCAGACGUCUAUGUGGUCAUGUGCCGAACAGGAGGGCCAGGCCCCAAGGGCAUCUCAUGCAUAGUUGUUGAGAAGGGGACCCCUGGCCUCAGCUUUGGCAAGAAGGAGAAAAAGGUGAGUGGCUGUUGGACAGGAAACAAUUUAGGUUAUGAGACUCUGCCACCUGCCAGCCCAACUCCUGCUCUAUUUCAGAAAACAGGUUUGCAUACUUGCU
rnacentral:sRNA from 1 species